rnacentral:rRNA from 1 species
UACGGGGGGGGCAAGCGUUGUUCGGAAUUACUGGGCGUAAAGGGCUCGUAGGUGGCCAACUAAGUCAUACGUGAAAUCCCUCGGCUUAACCGGGGAACUGCGUCUGAUACUGGAUGGCUUGAGGUUGGGAGAGGGAUGCGGAAUUCCAGGUGUAGCGGUGAAAUGCGUAGAUAUCAGGAAGAACACCCGUGGCGAAGGCGGCUCUCUGGGACGGUACUGAUGCUGAGACGCGAAAGCGUGGGGAGCGAACAGG